rnacentral:lncRNA from 1 species
UGCCUUGUCUUGGCUUACAGCCACCAGCUAUGGAUUCCAAGGGCUGGUAGACAUGCAGCUGCAGUCUUGCUCCCCACAUCAGCCUGGGUGAAUCCACGAUUCUGGAGGCUACACUGGGGACAAAGGAGGAAGAACUGCAUGUUCCAUGGCAUUACAGCCCUCACGAGGACCAGAGGAUGCUGAAGCUGCAUGCCCACAAGUUUUCCCAGGUCAAGUUUUCUGAUUUAUUUCCCCAUUCAAGAUUCUGUGCUUUCUGAUAUCUAAACUCUUUUGUGAGUAAUCUGAAAUUUUAUGACUUUUUAUUUUAUUUUAUCUCUUCUUA